rnacentral:rRNA from 1 species
AAAUUGAAGAGUUUGAUCAUGGCUCAGAUUGAACGCUGGCGGCAGGCCUAACACAUGCAAGUCGAACGGUAACAGGAAGAAGCUUGCUUCUUUGCUGACGAGUGGCGGACGGGUGAGUAAUGUCUGGGAAACUGCCUGAUGGAGGGGGAUAACUACUGGAAACGGUAGCUAAUACCGCAUAACGUCGCAAGACCAAAGAGGGGGACCUUCGGGCCUCUUGCCAUCGGAUGUGCCCAGAUGGGAUUAGCUUGUUGGUGGGGUAACGGCUCACCAAGGCGACGAUCCCUAGCUGGUCUGAGAGGAUGACCAGCCACACUGGAACUGAGACACGGUCCAGACUCCUACGGGAGGCAGCAGUGGGGAAUAUUGCACAAUGGGCGCAAGCCUGAUGCAGCCAUGCCGCGUGUAUGAAGAAGGCCUUCGGGUUGUAAAGUACUUUCAGCGGGGAGGAAGGGAGUAAAGUUAAUAACUUUGCUCAUUGACGUUACCCGCAGAAGAAGCACCGGCUAACUCCGUGCCAGCAGCCGCGGUAAUACGGAGGGUGCAAGCGUUAAUCGGAAUUACUGGGCGUAAAGCGCACGCAGGCGGUUUGUUAAGUCAGAUGUGAAAUCCCCGGGCUCAACCUGGGAACUGCAUCUGAUACUGGCAAGCUUGAGUCUCGUAGAGGGGGGUAGAAUUCCAGGUGUAGCGGUGAAAUGCGUAGAGAUCUGGAGGAAUACCGGUGGCGAAGGCGGCCCCCUGGACGAAGACUGACGCUCAGGUGCGAAAGCGUGGGGAGCAAACAGGAUUAGAUACCCUGGUAGUCCACGCCGUAAACGAUGUCGACUUGGAGGUUGUGCCCUUGAGGCGUGGCUUCCGGAGCUAACGCGUUAAGUCGACCGCCUGGGGAGUACGGCCGCAAGGUUAAAACUCAAAUGAAUUGACGGGGGCCCGCACAAGCGGUGGAGCAUGUGGUUUAAUUCGAUGCAACGCGAAGAACCUUACCUGGUCUUGACAUCCACAGAACUUUCCAGAGAUGGAUUGGUGCCUUCGGGAACUGUGAGACAGGUGCUGCAUGGCUGUCGUCAGCUCGUGUUGUGAAAUGUUGGGUUAAGUCCCGCAACGAGCGCAACCCUUAUCCUUUGUUGCCAGCGGUCCGGCCGGGAACUCAAAGGAGACUGCCAGUGAUAAACUGGAGGAAGGUGGGGAUGACGUCAAGUCAUCAUGGCCCUUACGACCAGGGCUACACACGUGCUACAAUGGCGCAUACAAAGAGAAGCGACCUCGCGAGAGCAAGCGGACCUCAUAAAGUGCGUCGUAGUCCGGAUUGGAGUCUGCAACUCGACUCCAUGAAGUCGGAAUCGCUAGUAAUCGUGGAUCAGAAUGCCACGGUGAAUACGUUCCCGGGCCUUGUACACACCGCCCGUCACACCAUGGGAGUGGGUUGCAAAAGAAGUAGGUAGCUUAACCUUCGGGAGGGCGCUUACCACUUUGUGAUUCAUGACUGGGGUGAAGUCGUAACAAGGUAACCGUAGGGGAACCUGCGGUUGGAUCACCUCCUUACCUUAAAGAAGC